rnacentral:rRNA from 1 species
UGGAUCCAGACUUUGAUCCUGGCUCAGGACGAACGCUGGCGGCGUGCCUAACACAUGCAAGUCGAACGGAGCUCCGCCCUUCGGGACGGAACUUAGUGGCGAACGGGUGAGUAACGCGUGAAGAACCUGCCUUCCAGUGGGGGACAACAGUUGGAAACGACUGCUAAUACCGCAUGAUACUUUUGAGGGGCAUCCCUUGAAAGUCAAAGCUUUAAGUGCUGGAAGAUGGCUUCGCGUCUGAUUAGCUAGUUGGUGGGGUAACGGCCCACCAAGGCGACGAUCAGUAGCCGGUCUGAGAGGAUGAACGGCCACAUUGGGACUGAGAUACGGCCCAGACUCCUACGGGAGGCAGCAGUGGGGAAUAUUGGGCAAUGGGGGAAACCCUGACCCAGCAACGCCGCGUGAAGGAAGAAGGCCUUCGGGUUGUAAACUUCUUUUACCAGGGACGAAGGACGUGACGGUACCUGGAGAAAAAGCAACGGCUAACUACGUGCCAGCAGCCGCGGUAAUACGUAGGUUGCAAGCGUUGUCCGGAUUUACUGGGUGUAAAGGGCGUGUAGGCGGAGGCGCAAGUUGGGAGUGAAAUCUAUGGGCUCAACCCAUAAACUGCUCUCAAAACUGUGUCCCUUGAGUAUCGGAGAGGCAAGCGGAAUUCCUAGUGUAGCGGUGAAAUGCGUAGAUAUUAGGAGGAACACCAGUGGCGAAGGCGGCUUGCUGGACGACAACUGACGCUGAGGCGCGAAAGCGUGGGGAGCAAGCAGGAUUAGAUACCCUGGUAGUCCACGCUGUAAACGAUGAAUACUAGGUGUGAGAGGACUGACCCCUUCCGUGCCGCAGUUAACACAAUAAGUAUUCCACCUGGGGAGUACGACCGCAAGGUUGCAACUCAAAUGAAUUGACGGA